rnacentral:tRNA from 1 species
GCCGUUGUAGCUCAGUUGGUAGAGCGGUUCAUUCGUAAUGAAAAGGUCGGGGGUUCGAUUCCCUUCUCCGGCACCA